rnacentral:rRNA from 1 species
UACGUAGGGGGCGAGCGUUGUUCGGAAUUACUGGGCGUAAAGGGCGCGCAGGCGGCCUUAGAAGUCAGAUGUGAAAGCCCCGGGCUCAACCUGGGAAUGGCAUUUGAUACUCUGAGGCUGGAGUACGGGAGAGGAGAGUGGAAUUCCCAGUGUAGAGGUGAAAUUCGUAGAUAUCGGAAGGAACACCAGUGGCGAAAGCGGCUCCCUGGUCCAGCACCGACGUUCAGGCACGAAAGCGUGGGGAGCAAACAGG